ACGUCAAGUCCUCAUGGCCCUUACGUCCAGGGCUACACACGUGCUACAAUGGUCGGUACAGAGGGAAGCGAGGCCGCGAGGCGGAGCCAAUCCCAGAAAGCCGUCCCCAGUUCGGAUUGGAGUCUGCAACUCGACUCCAUGAAGUUGGAAUCGCUAGUAAUCGGAGAUCAGCAUGCCUCCGUCCGAUACGUUCCGGCCUU
rnacentral:rRNA from 1 species